CCUACGGGUGGCAGCAGUGAGGAAUAUUGGUCAAUGGCCGAAAGGCUGAACCAGCCAAGCCGCGUGCGGGAAGACGGCCCUAUGGGUUGUAAACUUCUUUUGUCCGGGGGCAAAGACAGUUACGUGUAUCUCAUUGAGAGUACCGUACGAAUAAGGAUCGGCUAACUCCGUACCAGCAGCCGCGGUAAUACGGAGGAUGCGAGCGUUAUCCGGAUUUAUUGGGUUUAAGGGGUGCGUAGGCGGCAGGUUAAGUCAGCGGUAAAAUGUCGGUGCUCAACUCCGGACUGCCGUUGAAACUGGUCGGCUUGAGAGGACGAGCAGUAUGCGGAAUGCAUGGUGUAGCGGUGAAAUGCAUAGAGAUCACGCAGAACACCGAUUGCGAAGGCAGCAUACC
rnacentral:rRNA from 1 species